UUAAGCGACUAAGCGUACACGGUGGAUGCCUAGGCAGUCAGAGGCGAUGAAGGGCGUGCUAAUCUGCGAAAAGCGUCGGUAAGCUGAUAUGAAGCGUUAUAACCGACGAUACCCGAAUGGGGAAACCCAGUGCAAUACGUUGCACUAUCGUUAGAUGAAUACAUAGUCUAACGAGGCGAACCGGGGGAACUGAAACAUCUAAGUACCCCGAGGAAAAGAAAUCAACCGAGAUUCCCCCAGUAGCGGCGAGCGAACGGGGAGGAGCCCAGAGUCUGAAUCAGUUUGUGUGUUAGUGGAAGCGUCUGGAAAGUCGCACGGUACAGGGUGAUAGUCCCGUACACCAAAAUGCACAGGCUGUGAACUCGAUGAGUAGGGCGGGACACGUGACAUCCUGUCUGAAUAUGGGGGGACCAUCCUCCAAGGCUAAAUACUCCUGACUGACCGAUAGUGAACCAGUACCGUGAGGGAAAGGCGAAAAGAACCCCGGCGAGGGGAGUGAAAUAGAACCUGAAACCGUGUACGUACAAGCAGUGGGAGCACCUUCGUGGUGUGACUGCGUACCUUUUGUAUAAUGGGUCAGCGACUUAUAUUUUGUAGCAAGGUUAACCGAAUAGGGGAGCCGUAGGGAAACCGAGUCUUAACUGGGCGUCUAGUUGCAAGGUAUAGACCCGAAACCCGGGUGAUCUAGCCAUGGGCAGGUUGAAGGUUGGGUAACACUAACUGGAGGACCGAACCGACUAAUGUUGAAAAAUUAGCGGAUGACUUGUGGCUGGGGGUGAAAGGCCAAUCAAACCGGGAGAUAGCUGGUUCUCCCCGAAAGCUAUUUAGGUAGCGCCUCGUGAACUCAUCUUCGGGGGUAGAGCACUGUUUCGGCUAGGGGGCCAUCCCGGCUUACCAAACCGAUGCAAACUCCGAAUACCGAAGAAUGUUAUCACGGGAGACACACGGCGGGUGCUAACGUCCGUCGUGAAGAGGGAAACAACCCAGACCGCCAGCUAAGGUCCCAAAGUCAUGGUUAAGUGGGAAACGAUGUGGGAAGGCACAGACAGCCAGGAUGUUGGCUUAGAAGCAGCCAUCAUUUAAAGAAAGCGUAAUAGCUCACUGGUCGAGUCGGCCUGCGCGGAAGAUGUAACGGGGCUAAACCAUGCACCGAAGCUGCGGCAGCGACACUUAGGUGUUGUUGGGUAGGGGAGCGUUCUGUAAGCCGUUGAAGGUGACCUGUGAGGGUUGCUGGAGGUAUCAGAAGUGCGAAUGCUGACAUAAGUAACGAUAAUGCGGGUGAAAAACCCGCACGCCGGAAGACCAAGGGUUCCUGUCCAACGUUAAUCGGGGCAGGGUGAGUCGACCCCUAAGGCGAGGCUGAAAAGCGUAGUCGAUGGGAAACAGGUUAAUAUUCCUGUACUUGGUGUUACUGCGAAGGGGGGACGGAGAAGGCUAGGCUGGCCGGGCGACGGUUGUCCCGGUUUAAGCGUGUAGGGGGAGUGACCAGGUAAAUCCGGUUGCUUAUCAACCCUGAGGCGUGAUGACGAUGCACUACGGUGCAGAAGCAGUUGAUGCCAUGCUUCCAGGAAAAGCCUCUAAGCAUCAGGUAACAUUAAAUCGUACCCCAAACCGACACAGGUGGUCAGGUAGAGAAUACUCAGGCGCUUGAGAGAACUCGGGUGAAGGAACUAGGCAAAAUGGUGCCGUAACUUCGGGAGAAGGCACGCUGGCGUUAGGUGAAAGGACUAGCUCCUGGAGCUGAAGCCAGUCGCAGAUACCAGCUGGCUGCAACUGUUUAAUAAAAACACAGCACUGUGCAAACACGAAAGUGGACGUAUACGGUGUGACGCCUGCCCGGUGCUGGAAGGUUAAUUGAUGGGGUCAGCCGCAAGGCGAAGCUCUUGAUCGAAGCCCCAGUAAACGGCGGCCGUAACUAUAACGGUCCUAAGGUAGCGAAAUUCCUUGUCGGGUAAGUUCCGACCUGCACGAAUGGCGUAAUGAUGGCCAGGCUGUCUCCACCCGAGACUCAGUGAAAUUGAACUCGCUGUGAAGAUGCAGUGUACCCGCGGCAAGACGGAAAGACCCCGUGAACCUUUACUAUAGCUUGACACUGAACAUUGAGCCUUGAUGUGUAGGAUAGGUGGGAGGCCUUGAAGUGUGGACGCCAGUCUGCAUGGAGCCAACCUUGAAAUACCACCCUUUAAUGUUUGAUGUUCUAACUCGGCCCCAUAAUCUGGGGUGAGGACAGUGUCUGGUGGGUAGUUUGACUGGGGCGGUCUCCUCCCAAAGAGUAACGGAGGAGCACGAAGGUUAGCUAAUCACGGUCGGACAUCGUGAGGUUAGUGCAAAGGCAUAAGCUAGCUUGACUGCGAGAGUGACGGCUCGAGCAGGUACGAAAGUAGGUCUUAGUGAUCCGGUGGUUCUGAAUGGAAGGGCCAUCGCUCAACGGAUAAAAGGUACUCCGGGGAUAACAGGCUGAUACCGCCCAAGAGUUCAUAUCGACGGCGGUGUUUGGCACCUCGAUGUCGGCUCAUCACAUCCUGGGGCUGAAGUAGGUCCCAAGGGUAUGGCUGUUCGCCAUUUAAAGUGGUACGCGAGCUGGGUUUAGAACGUCGUGAGACAGUUCGGUCCCUAUCUGCCGUGGGCGUUGGAAGAUUGAGAGGGGCUGCUCCUAGUACGAGAGGACCGGAGUGGACGAAUCACUGGUGUUCGGGUUGUCAUGCCAAUGGCAUUGCCCGGUAGCUAAAUUCGGAAGAGAUAACCGCUGAAAGCAUCUAAGCGGGAAACUUGCCUCGAGAUGAGUCUUCCCUGGGGCUUAAAGCCCCCUGAAGGAACGUUAAAGACUAUGACGUUGAUAGGCUGGGUGUGUAAGUGCAGCGAUGUAUUGAGCUAACCAGUACUAAUGAUCCGUGAGGCUUAACCUU
rnacentral:rRNA from 1 species